GACAAACUAAUAAGAUAGGUACCUAAUAUUGACAUAUUGGUUUCAUUUCUUUGUCACUUGCAAGUACUAAAUAUUAAAACAUCAGCUUUUAUCAGACAUCAAAAAUUAAGUAUGUAGGUAAGUAUAACUACAAUUACAAAUUUUUAAGUGCAUUUUUUUAUGAGGUGCAUGAUGUGAGAGUCUAUUUAUAUUCAUUAUUUUGUAUAAAUCAAUCAUACCAAAAGAGAAAUUAAAGAAAAAAUUGUUUUG